rnacentral:rRNA from 1 species
GGGUUAAAGGCUCACCUAGGCGGACGAUCCCUAGCUGGUCUGAGAGGAUGACCAGCCACACUGGAACUGAGACACGGUCCAGACUCCUACGGGAGGCAGCAGUGGGGAAUAUUGCACAAUGGGCGCAAGCCUGAUGCAGCCAUGCCGCGUGUGUGAAGAAGGCCUUAGGGUUGUAAAGCACUUUCAGCGGGGAGGAAGGCGAUAAGGUUAAUAACCUUGUCGAUUGACGUUACCCGCAGAAGAAGCACCGGCUAACUCCGUGCCAGCAGCCGCGGUAAUACGGAGGGUGCAAGCGUUAAUCGGAAUUACUGGGCGUAAAGCGCACGCAGGCGGUCUGUCAAGUCGGAUGUGAAAUCCCCGGGCUCAACCUGGGAACUGCAUUCGAAACUGGCAGGCUAGAGUCUUGUAGAGGGGGGUAGAAUUCCAGGUGUAGCGGUGAAAUGCGUAGAGAUCUGGAGGAAUACCGGUGGCGAAGGCGGCCCCCUGGACAAAGACUGACGCUCAGGUGCGAAAGCGUGGGGAGCAAACAGGAUUAGAUACCCUGGUAGUCCACGCCGUAAACGAUGUCGAUUUGGAGGUUGUGCCCUUGAGGCGUGGCUUCCGGAGCUAACGCGUUAAAUCGACCGCCUGGGGAGUACGGCCGCAAGGUUAAAACUCAAAUGAAUUGACGGGGGCCCGCACAAGCGGUGGAGCAUGUGGUUUAAUUCGAUGCAACGCGAAGAACCUUACCUGGUCUUGACAUCCACAGAACUUGCCAGAGAUGCCUUGGUGCCUUCGGGAACUGUGAGACAGGUGCUGCAUGGCUGUCGUCAGCUCGUGUUGUGAAAUGUUGGGUUAAGUCCCGCAACGAGCGCAACCCUUAUCCUUUGUUGCCAGCGGUUAGGCCGGGAACCCAAAGGAAACUGCCAGUGAUAAACUGGAGGAAGGUGGGGAUAACGUCAAGUCAUCAUGGCCCUUUACAACCAGGGGCUACACACGUGCUACAAUGGCAUAUACAAAAAAAAGCGACCCCCCCAGAUCAACGCGCACCCCCAUAAAGUAUGUCGUAGUCCGGAUUGGAGUUUGCAACUCGACUCCAAGAUAAAAGAAUCGUCUUGUAAUCCGAGAUCAGAAUGUCACGGUGAAUACGUUGCGCCGGCCUUGUACACACCGGCCCGUCUCCCCAUGGGAGUGGGUUGCAAAAGCACAGUAGGUCAGCUUAUAACACAUUGCGGGA